rnacentral:lncRNA from 1 species
UUUCCAGGGAGACAGACAGGCCCUGCUAUGCUGUGACCACCACUACAGCAGCCCCAUUCUCCUUGCUGUGCUACUCACCUGGGGGUUGCUGAGCCAGCAGGGCCUCCGGAUGGGGUAGACUGAAUAGCAGUACUUUCCCGUCUGAGCAGGCCAGAGCCAAGAGACCCAACCGGGGCAGGAGAGGAGCCUAAAGGGUAAAAGGUAUGCUGAGGCUUGCUGCCUUCAGCUGACUCACAGAAAACCUUUGAGGUUCUAGUCCCUGAAAUACUGUAUGAAGUUGCUGGAAAAACUCCAUCCACUACACUCCAACCUUCGUUCCUUCAACUCUAAGAAUUCCCAGGGCCUCUUUGUCCUGGCUUUGAGUCCUAGGGCCAUCCCACAGUUGACUGGGAAGUACCUUCCGAGGGGUGCCUGGAAGUUCCCAUGCUCCACUGGGGCAGAACUUGAGGUCCCAGAUGCAGCCGUUGUCACAAGCAAUCCCAUAGACAAAGUGGGCCCUGUUGCCAGGACUGGAGAGAGAGAGCAUGUGGGGAUGGUGGGUAGGAAGAAGGGACGCAGGGCUGCCAGAGGGCUGGAGAAAAGAGCCACAUAUUGCGAGGCUCCUGCCCCCUCUGGCACUGGGCACCAGUCCAGAGCCCAGAGCGGUCCCCCCGUGAAGAAGGACACAUCCCAGCGCUCUGGAUGUGCUGUGAUCGAGCUAAAUCUAGAGAAAAAUCAAAGAUGGGAUGAAGAAAGGAAUUAAUGAAAGAAUCAGAAAAAAGGGCGGAUGUGCAAUCUUCACCUGUUUAUUCGGUAGAGGGUGCCAUCUUCAGGUAGCCCUUCACGUUGUACAGAAAACAAUGGAGACUUCUCCUCCUGGGGCAGCUCAGAUAACAAGUGCCACUUCCAGGCUAAAGGAAUCCACUCAGCAAACUCCCAGUAUGAAUGUUUCUGCUCUCGGCUGGAGAAACAGAAGAAGCAUUAAUGAAGGAGAGGGAUUCUACAGCCGCACAGUCCAAUAAAACUUUCUGUGGGGAUGGAAAUGAUCCAUUAUCUGUGCUCCCCAA